rnacentral:lncRNA from 1 species
UAUUUUUAAAUGACCAGUUCGAAAAUUGGUUAUCCCAUGCUAUUUUGACUAUAAAUCCACUUGCGACUUGGGACUGUUGGUCAGACUGGACUACCAUACGGGCUGGCUAGAAUGAGCUCCGAUUAUGAAAAGUCCAAGGGUUUGUUUUAAGAAUUUGAGCGGAUUGUCCCCUCACGGGCUACUAUUUAAGAAGGGAUUUCUACAUAUAUAUGCCAUUUAGCAAACCUUAUUACCAAAAUUGUGUAUGGUUUGGUAUUUACCCGCCUAUACCAAUGUUUUGUUUACAAAAAUUGUACCAAAC